AGAGUUUGAUCCUGGCUCAGAUUGAACGCUGGCGGCAUGGCUAAAACAUGCAAGUCGAACGAGAACUCACUUCGGUGAGGGACAGUGGCGAAAGGGCGAGUAACGCGUACCUUACGUACCUUGAGGUGCGGGAUAGCUCGGGGAAACCCGUGGUAAUACCGCAUAAUCCGGCAACGGCAAAGAUUUAUCGCCUCAAGAUCGGGGUGCGUCCUAUCAGGUAGUUGGCGGGGUAACGGCCCACCAAGCCAGAGACGGGUAGCGGGUGUGAGAGCACGGCCCGCCGCAUCGGGACUGAGACACUGCCCGGACUCCUACGGGAGGCUGCAGUAACGAAUAUUCCGCAAUGCGCGAAAGCGUGACGGAGCAAUGCCGCGUGAAGGAUGAAGCCCCUAGGGGUGUAAACUUCUGUCAGGGGUCACCAAGCUCUGAGGAGCCCCAAAGGAAGGACCGGCUAACUCUGUGCCAGCAGCCGCGGUAAUACAGAGGGUCCGAGCGUUAAUCGGAAUCACUGGGCUUAAAGGGUCCGCAGGCGGACCCGCAAGUGUCAAGUAAAAUACCCCGGCUCAACCGGGGAACGGCUUGGCAAACUGCGGGUCUUGAGCCCGACAGGGGUCGUCGGAACGAUAGGUGGAGCGGUGAAAUGCGUAGAUAUCUAUCGGAACGCCUAUGGUGAAGACAGGCGACUGGGUCGGCGCUGACGCUCAGGGACGAAAGCGUGGGUAGCGAACGGGAUUAGAUACCCCGGUAGUCCACGCCCUAAACGCUGUGCACUAGAUCGAGGGGGUUUUGACGCUUUCUCGGUCGUAGCCAAAGUGUUAAGUGCACCGCCCUGGGGAGUACGGUCGCAAGGCUAAAAC
rnacentral:rRNA from 1 species